rnacentral:rRNA from 1 species
CGGACGGGUGAGUAAUGUCUGGGAAACUGCCUGAUGGAGGGGGAUAACUACUGGAAACGGUAGCUAAUACCGCAUAACGUCGCAAGACCAAAGAGGGGACCUUCGGGCCUCUUGCCAUCGGAUGUGCCCAGAUUGGAUUAGCUAGUAGGUGGGGUAACGGCUCACCUAGGCGACGAUCCCUAGCUUGUCUGAGAGGAUGACCAGCCACACUGGAACUGAGACACGGUCCAG